rnacentral:rRNA from 1 species
UACGAGGGGGGCAAGCGUUGUUCGGAAUUAUUGGGCGUAAAGGGCGCGUAGGCGGUCUGACAAGUCUUGUGUGAAAUCUCUGGGCUCAACCCAGAGUCUGCACAGGAAACUGUCGGGCUAGAGUAUGGGAGAGGUGCGUGGAAUUUCCGGUGUAGCGGUGAAAUGCGUAGAUAUCAGGAGGAACACCGGUGGUGUAGACGGCUUACUGGACCAUAACUGACGCUGAGACACGAAAGCGUGGGUAGCAAACAGG